rnacentral:rRNA from 1 species
UACGAAGGGGGCUAGCGUUGCUCGGAAUUACUGGGCGUAAAGCGCACGUAGGCGGAUUGUUAAGUCAGGGGUGAAAUCCUGGAGCUCAACUCCAGAACUGCCUUUGAUACUGAGGAGCUGAGUCCGGGAGAGGUGAGUGGAACUGCGAGUGUAGAGGUGAAAUUCGUAGAUAUUCGCAAGAACACCAGUGGCGAAGGCGGCUCACUGGCCCGAUACUGACGCUGAGG